UCUUUGGUUACAAGUUCAACGAACCUGGAUGCUAGGGUUGAAUCCUCAGUUUUCUAUAAAUAGCCAAGACCAACCACUUUAUUCUAGUAACCAAAAGCUCUCACCACACUCUAAUUAUUUCCUACAGUCUUUCUGACUUACGCAUUGGAGACCUUUUUGCAAACACUACACGGUAGUAGUGUAAUUCCAUGUGUCUAUUUUCUUUGUGUGUGUAGAUUUUCAUCAAUUCAAUCCGUGACGGAAAUUUGCUCGUGCAAAUUUCACAUUGAUGGGAAGAGGACCUUGCUUGGGCUUAUACGUAAGUUAGGUUACUUCUCAUAUGCCAAUUGAUUUUAUGAUGAAAAUUAAACUUUCUUCAAUAUUUUGUCUGAUUUCUUCAAUUUAUUCCAAUCCUUUAAUUUCACCAAUAUUGUUUGAUUGUUGAAUUGGGGAUGAAUUGUUAAUUCAUUGUUAGUAAUAGAUCCAUGAUAUGAUUUAUUUGUCGAUUUUCCUUCUGGACUUGUAAGGAGCUGCCAAUUUUACCUCUAAACUUUAAUUUUAGCCAAUUACCCUCUGAACCUUUAUAAUUGGCCAAUUUCUCCCUUGAACUUUAGUUUAGUCGAUCACCCCCUAAACUUUUAUAAUUGAUCAAUUUCCUCUUGGGGUUGGAUUUUGGAAUUUUUCAUUCAAUUUUCCAUUCAUCUUGGUCACAUGCACGACACAUGACAAUUGUUUGAAAGCCAGGUAAUAUUAUCCCUAAUGUGGACAACACAUUUUUUUUUCUUCCUCUUCUCUUCCACUAGUUCACGUCGUACAAUUUUUGUUUGAAUUCUAUCUCUAAUGUGGACAACUAUGAAUCUUCUCCAAGGUCUUGCUUUUUCAACAAUAUGUUGGGUUGUGAUGCCAUUUCAUUAGCCUUCUUUAUGACAUGAUUCACAUUAUCGUCUCGGUCCACCUAUUCCAAUUCAAGACCCAAAUUCAAAUAAGAAAAGUAAUUACUCUCAACAAAUUCGUUACUAGAAACUAGCCAAUUACAAGAGGGUUGGUUAAAAUUAAAGUUCAGGAGAAAAUUGGCAUCUCUUACAAAUUAGGUGGAAAAGCGGUGAAUACCUCUUUAAUCGAUACUACUAUGCUGAUGUGGACAAACUAAUAUCAAUUAUAUUAGUAUAAUAAAUUUUUUUAAAUGCGGAUAAAUGAACUGAUGCUAAAUGCUGAGACUUGGGAUAAUAGAGUCGUCUAAAAUAAUACAUAUGAUAUUAUCUACACUACACUACACUAUAGGUGUGGGAGAGUGGGUCUACCAUAAUAAUUUGGUUCAAAUUCGCUUUUGAUGAGAAUUGAACAUAAUAACUCUUAUUUAUGAGUGAAAAAAAUACUACUAUACUAUAAUAUUAGGUGACAAAAUAAAAAGAAUGUUAGCAAGAUCUUAAAAUUGGGAUUAGCCCAUAACCGACAAAACCAAACUGCACAACGAUAGUCAAGUUUGGUUUACUUUUCACCCAUUACUUUGGUUAAAAACAGAACAAACUGAUGUUAUAUAAUAAUUGGUUUGGGUGGAAAACCAAAAUGGUUAUCAAAAUUUUGGCCUUGCCUUAUUUUUGGGCGGUUUUAAAGUUUGGCUUUUGGUUUUUAGCUUCCAAUAAUAGUUAUCAAAUUUUUUUUUUAUUUUCUACUGAAAUGAUUGUCAAACAGGCCCAAGACAUUUUAUCAAUUAGAAAAAACAAAAAAAAAAAUUCAUGAAUCUUGAAUCUCUCCAUAUAAAUAUGUAUAUUUUUCACAUUUUACUAUAUGUAAACCAUUGUAGUAUUUAAGGACUUAAGACAUGGCACACCAGUUAUCGUUUCAAUUGUCCUGAGUUCCAUGGUUUGACGAUUUUUGGCCACAACAAUCACUACCUACUUCAACGUCUCCAAAGUGAUAUUGAUAUGUAUCUGUUGUCUUGUCGAUCUAUUCUUUUCAUCUAUUUGAUAAUGGGAAUCAUUCAUUCCCCACUUUCCAAUACAAAUCAUGAGGAGAGCACAUGAUUACAUGAGCGAUGGCUAAAACUCAAAGCCCACAAAACCAAAUUGCCAAAUCAGUGAUGAUUAGCAACAAAAGGAAAAAAGAGAGAAAAAGGUGGAACAUUGUUCUUGUUCAUACAUUCGGGUGUGGCUACAAUCAGAGGCGGAGCCACAGUGGGGUCAAUGGGGUCGCACGACCCCUUGGAAGCCAUGGAAAUAACCUUAGAGGUCCCUUGGAGCUGCUGGUGCGACCCCUUAAAGCUGCUGGUGCGACCUCUUGGAUCUGCUGCAUUUUUCUGGGUUUCUUCUGGUUUUCGUUCGGUUUGGCGGAAGAGGAAGACGAAGACGAAGACGUUCUCUCUCUUCCUUUCACACCACGUGACCACACACUCUUCUUAUUUAAUUUUUUUUCUUAGUUUCUCUCCGAUCAAAUUUGUACAGCUAGCAUCAAAUUGCUUGCUUUGUGUAAAAAGCCAUAGGCUGUCAGUUCGGUUCGUGUGUCAAGUUGAAGAUGUCACCAUUAAGUCUUGGUGCAGAUUGCAAAGUUCCCAUGCGUCCACAUCCACAUAUUUGACAUAAAUUAAUGGGAAAGUGAAGGCACCUUUUAGUAUGGUAACUAUCGGCGAGAGGCUGAUCACGCUAUCCUACCAAGAUCCGAUGAAAUGACGAUAUGCAUGCCGUUUCUGUUAAAAAAAAAUUUCGCGCUGCGGGCGCUAUCCUUGUUGACCCCCCAAACAUUAUUUCAUGGAUCCGCCACUGGCUACAAUGUCCCGUGACCUUAGUGCAGAUCUGUUUUUUUUUUUCUUUUCUUUUUUAAAUUUGACCCGUUCUUGUACGUAAACAUAUGAAACUGCAAAAAAUAUACACCAAAAACAAAUUAAAAGAAAAAUAAAAAACCUGGGGUUUGUGCAGUCAAGUUGGACUAAAUAAAGAAUGAAUGUUUUGCUGAA